GGAGUACUUGAGCCCAUCACGUUUGGAAUGAAUCGUUUAAUUCUGUACACUACGCCCUUUCCUGUGAACUGUCAGAGGAGGAGACAUCCAUCAACGCCAGCAAGGUUGCAGUGAAAGUGCUUUUGAGCUGCCAGCUCUUUCCCUAAAGGCACAAUCAGAGCAUUUGUCAAUAAACUCUGACUCCAAAGAUGGAACGGGAAUGCUCUCUGCAGAGGUGGAAGAUUGUAGCAGCUCCACAAAACCGCCUGAAAGCCGACAUUCAGUUACUUGGCGGGAAUACAGCUCCACACAGCUGGCCUGGCUCCUCGCCUCCUAACAUCUGAAGUCUGUCUUUAGAGUGUGUUUCUCAGCGAGAGGGGCUUCUCUUUUCGAAUACAAAUAGCCCUGAGAGGCUAUCCAUCAUGCACAUCUUGCUUUGAAUUCCUUCAUUCACGUGCUUUCCUCCUUGCCCCAGCUGAGAUGAAGGUCC
rnacentral:lncRNA from 1 species